rnacentral:rRNA from 1 species
AUUGAACGCUGGCGGCAGGCCUAACACAUGCAAGCCGAGCGCGAAAAUUCCUUCGGGGAUGAGUAGAGCGGCGGACGGGUGAGUAAUGCGCAGAAAUCUGCCCAGUAGUGGGGGACAACCUGGUGAAAACCAGGCUAAUACCGCAUACGCCUACGGGGAAAGGCAGGGAGUCUUCGGACCUUGCGCUAUUGGAUGAGUCUGCGUCGGAUUAGCUUGUUGGUGAGGUAAUGGCUCACCAAGGCGACGAUCCGUAGCUGGUCUGAGAGGAUGAUCAGCCACACUGGGACUGAGACACGGCCCAGACUCCUACGGGAGGCAGCAGUGGGGAAUAUUGGACAAUGGGCGAAAGCCUGAUCCAGCCGUGCCGCGUGUGUGAAGAAGGCUCUAGGGUUGUAAAGCACUUUCAGUGGGGAAGAAAGACUUGUUAGCUAAUAACUGACGAGUGUGACAUUACCCACAGAAGAAGCACCGG